CGCCAGGUUAAAACUCAAAGGAAUUGACCGGGANCCCGCACNAAGCGGUGGAUGAUUGUGGAUUANUUCGAUGCACGUGGAAAAACCUUACCUACCCUUGACAUGUCCAGGAGCUCGAAGAGAUUUGAGUGUGCCCGAAAGGGAGCUGGAACACAGGUGCUGCAUGGCUGUCGUCAGCUCGUGUCGUGAGAUGUUGGGUUAAGUCCCGCAACGAGCGCAACCCUUGUCGUUAAUUGCCAUCAUUUAGUUGGGCACUUUAACGAGACUGCCGGUGACAAACCGGAGGAAGGUGGGGAUGACGUCAAGUCCUCAUGGCCCUUAUGGGUAGGGCUUCACACGUCAUACAAUGGUCGGUACAGAGGGUUGCCAAGCCGCGAGGUGGAGCCAAUCCCAGAAAGCCGAUCGUAGUCCGGAUCGUAGNNUGCAACUCGCCUGCGUGAAGUCGGAAUCGCUAGUAAUCGCGGAUCAGCAUGUCGCGGUGAAUACGUUCCCGGGUCUUGUACACACCGCCCGUCACACCAUGGGAGCGGGUUCCGCCAGAAGUAGGUAGCCUAACCGCAAGGGGGGCGCUUACCACGGCGGGGUUCGUGACUGGGGUGAAGUCGUAACAAGGUAGCCGUAGGGGAACCUGCGGCUGGAUCA
rnacentral:rRNA from 1 species